rnacentral:rRNA from 1 species
CCUACGGGAGGCUGCAGUGGGGAAUAUUGGACAAUGGGGGGAACCCUGAUCCAGCCAUGCCGCGUGUGUGAAGAAGGCCCUCGGGUUGUAAAGCACUUUCCGUGAGGAAGAACGCCUGGUGGUUAAUACCCAUCAGGAAAGACAUCACUCACAGAAGAAGCACCGGCUAACUCCGUGCCAGCAGCCGCGGUAAUACGGAGGGUGUGAGCGUUAAUCGGAAUUACUGGGCGUAAAGCGCGCGUAGGUGGCUUGAUAAGCCGGUUGUGAAAGCCCCGGGCUCAACCUGGGAACGGCAUCCGGAACUGUCAAGCUAGAGUGCAGGAGAGGAAGGUAGAAUUCCCGGUGUAGCGGUGAAAUGCGUAGAGAUCGGGAGGAAUACCAGUGGCGAAGGCGGCCUUCUGGACUGACACUGACACUGAGGUGCGAAAGCGUGGGUAGCAAACAGGAUUAGAUACCCUUGUAGUC